GCGCCUAUGGAUCAACGGUUAGAUCAUCUGUCCCCGCUUAAACAGCCUAAGACGGAGGUCGGGGGUUCGAUUCCCCUGUAGGGCA